UGCUAAUACCGGAUGUGCUAUUUUUAUCACAUGAUUUAUAUAGUAAAGGUAGCCCGCAAGGCCUCUGCUUUAAGAUGAGCCCGCGUCCUAUUAGCUUGUUGGUGGGGUAACGGCCUACCAGGGCAAUGAUGGGUAGCCGGUCUGAGAGGAUGGUCGGCCACACUGGGACUGAGAUACGGCCCAGACUCCUACGGGAGGCAGCAGUAGGGAAUAUUGCGCAAUGGGCGAAAGCCUGACGCAGCGACACCGUGUGAAGGAUGAAGGUCUUCGGAUUGUAAACUUCUGUCAAUUGGGGACGAAGGUACUGGGGUUAAUAGCCUUCAGUAUUGACGGUACCCAAUAAGGAAGUCUCGGCUUACUCCGUGCCAGCAGCCGCGGUAAGACGGGGGAGGCAAGCGUUGUCCGGAAUUAUUGGGCGUAAAGAGCGCGUAGGUGGUUUAUCAAGUCAUUUGUGAAAACUUUAGGCUUAACUUAAAGAUUGCAAGUGAUACUGGUAAACUUGAGCACAGUAGAGGAAAAUGGAAUUCCUGGUGUACGGUGAAAUGCGCAGAUAUCAGGAAGAACACCAGUGGCGAAGGCGGUUUUCUUGGGCUGUUGCUGACACUGGAGGCGCGAAAGCCUAGGGGAAGCCGAACCAGGAAUUAGGUA
rnacentral:rRNA from 1 species